rnacentral:rRNA from 1 species
UACGUAGGUGGCAAGCGUUGUCCGGAUUUACUGGGCGUAAAGAGCGCGCAGGCGGUCGUUCAAGUCGAGUGUGAAAGCCCCCGGCUCAACUGGGGAGGGUCACUUGAUACUGAUCGACUCGAAGGCAGGAGAGGGAAGCGGAAUUCCCGGUGUAGUGGUGAAAUGCGUAGAUAUCGGGAGGAACACCAGUGGCGAAGGCGGCAUCCUGGACCAAUUCUGACGCUGAGUGAGCGAAAGCCAGGGGAGCAAACGGG